UACGGGGGGGGCAAGCGUUGUUCGGAAUUACUGGGCGUAAAGGGCUCGUAGGCGGCCAACUAAGUCAGAUGUGAAAUCCCCAGGCUUAACCUGGGAACUGCAUCUGAUACUGGAUGGCUUGAGAUUGGGAGAGGGACGCGGAAUUCCAGGUGUAGCGGUGAAAUGCGUAGAUAUCUGGAGGAACACCGGUGGCGAAGGCGGCGUCCUGGACCAACACUGACACUGAGGAGCGAAAGCCAGGGGAGCAAACGGG
rnacentral:rRNA from 1 species